rnacentral:rRNA from 1 species
AUGGGCACGAAAGGCAAAAGCAGGCUGCGCAAUAAGCGCGGAGGCGUGGCCCUUCGGCCGCAUGCGCCUCCCGUAGCCCAGGCGAAGGCCGGCGGCGGCGACCCAACGGCGAAGACAGGGUCGGAGGAGAAGGUGGCUAUCCUCACGGCCCACAACGCCGCGGAGCUGCCAAAGGCGCGGGCAGAGGUCGACAACGCGCAGCAGCGCGACGAUGGCGAGGUGGUGCUCCCUCAGGUGACCGACCUUCACCUUCACGGCGCCACCGAUGGGAAGGCCGCGCAGCCGGCCGACGACGGCCCUGGCGAGCUCGAGCGGGAAGCGCCGGGGUCGGGCGAGGUUGUGCUCCCUGACGAGGUCGAGGCACCUGGCCUUCACGGCGCCACCAAGGAGGCCGACGAUGUGCCAGUGGCGAUCGAGGGGGAAGCGCCCGGGUCGGGCGAGGUGGUGGUGCCCCCCGACGAGGUCGAGGAGCCCGUCCUUCACAGCGCCACCGCAGAGGAGGUCGUGCGGCCGGCGACGGAGGAGGCGGACGACGUGCCUGUCAAACUCGAGGCGGGAGGAUCGGGGGAGGAGACGCACGCGCCGCACGCCGAGAAGGAGCUCCCGGACGACACCUUCGCUGGCGAUGUCCUCGUGGACCAUAACGUCGUCCACCCCGAGGAGGUCGCCUCCCUGCGCCGGCGCCUGGCCGCCGCGCGGGCGAGGAACCUCCUGAACCCGGAUACGAUCGACGAACUAAACAAGCUGUUCGAGGAGAUGGGGCUCUCGGUUGCCGUCGCGUCGAAGGGCCAAGGUCGCCGUUGA